rnacentral:misc_RNA from 1 species
UCUCCGUUGGUGAACCAGCGGAGGGAUCAUUACCGAGUUUUUCUACUCCAAAACCCCUGUGAACUUAUACCUUUACUGUUGCUUCGGCGGGUUAACGCCCCGGAAUGCCCAAAAGGCCGCCGGAACCAGGCGCCCGCCUGGGGACCCAAACUCUUGUAUUUCUUACGUUGCAUGUCUGAGUGGAAUCAUAAACAAAUGAAUCAAAACUUUCAACAACGGAUCUCUUGGUUCUG